rnacentral:miRNA from 1 species
CCUCCAAAGGGAAGCGCUUUCUGUU